GAGUUUGAUCGUGGCUCAGAUUGAACGCUGGCGGCAUGCCUUACACAUGCAAGUCGAACGGCAGCAUGAUCUAGCUUGCUAGAUUGAUGGCGAGUGGCGAACGGGUGAGUAAUACAUCGGAACGUGCCCUGUAGUGGGGAGUAACUAGUCGAAAGAUUAGCUAAUACCGCAUACGACCUGAGGGUGAAAGUGGGGACCGGCAAGGCCUCAUGCUAUAGGAGCGGCCGAUGUCUGAUUAGCUAGUUGGUGGGGUAAAGGCCCACCAAGGCGACGAUCAGUAGCUGGUCUGAGAGGACGAUCAGCCACACUGGGACUGAGACACGGCCCAGACUCCUACGGGAGGCAGCAGUGGGGAAUUUCGGACAAUGGGCGAAAGCCUGAUCCAGCAAUGCCGCGUGUGUGAA
rnacentral:rRNA from 1 species